rnacentral:rRNA from 1 species
UUGCCCUGGGGCAAAGCCGCGAACGGGUGAGUAACACGUGGGUAACCUGCCCCGAUGACCGGGACAACCCGAGGAAACUCGGGCUAAUACCGGAUGUGGAUCUCUCACAUCAGUGAGUUAUCUAAAGGUAGCUUCGGCUUCCGCAUUGGGAUGGGCCCGCGGCCCAUUAGCUUGUUGGUGAGGUAACGGCUUACCAAGGCUUCGAUGGGUAGCUGGUCUGAGAGGACGAUCAGCCACACUGGGACUGAGACACGGCCCAGACUCCUACGGGAGGCAGCAGUGGGGAAUCUUGCGCAAUGCGCGAAAGCGUGACGCAGCAACGCCGCGUGGGGGAAGAAGGCCUUCGGGUUGUAAACCCCUUUCAGGAGGGACGAAGGUCACACGGUUAAUAGCCGGCGUGACUGACGGUACCUCCAGAAGAAGCCCCGGCUAACUACGUGCCAGCAGCCGCGGUAAUACGUAGGGGGCAAGCGUUGUCCGGAAUUAUUGGGCGUAAAGAGCGCGUAGGCGGUCCGAUAAGUCGACUGUGAAAGUCUAGGGCUCAACCCUGGAAAGCCGGUCGAUACUGUCGGACUAGAGUCCGGAAGAGGCAAGUGGAAUUCACGGUGUAGCAU